rnacentral:rRNA from 1 species
CGCUGGCGGCGUGGCCUAAUACACUGCAAGUCGAACGGUCUUUCUAUGGAAGCUUGCUUCCACUGAGAAGAGUAGUGGCGAACGGGUGAGUAACACGUGGGUAACCUGCCCGAUAAGAGGGGGGAUAACAUCCGGAAACGGGUGCUAAUACCGCAUAGUUUUCUUGAUCGCAUGAUCGGGAAAGGAAAGACGGCCUUUGUGCUGUCGCUUAUGGGAUGGACCCGCGGCGUAUUAGUUAGUUGGUGAGGUAACGGCUCACCAAGACGAUGAUACGUAGCCGACCUGAGAGGGUGAUCGGCCACAUUGGGACUGAGACACGGCCCAAACUCCUACGGGAGGCAGCAGUAGGGAAUCUUCCGCAAUGGACGAAAGUCUGACGGAGCAACGGCCGCGUGAGUGAAGAAAAGGUUUUCGGAUCGUAAAACUCUGUUGUCAGAGAAGAACAAGGUUGGAGAGUAACUGCUCCAGCCUUGACGGUAUCUGACCAGAAAGCCACGGCUAACUACGUGCCAGCAGCCGC